AACGAAAUACGAUAUUCGCAUUUAGAUCGUAUUCGCGUCGCGUUAAAAACCAGAAAUUCAGGUCAGUGCACAAAAACACGCGCGGACACAAACGCGAGCAUGGGAUAUUAUUAAACGGAAAAAAAAAAAAAAAAAUUUCCAAAAGGAGAUUAAAUCGAACACUUAUAAUGGAAUUUCACCGGCAAUAGAACACACGUCUACGGGAAAACGUACGCACACAAUUAUGUGUGUAUCCCAUUACGACGGAUUUUGAUUCAAGUAGCGGUGGUGGUGGCAGA